rnacentral:lncRNA from 1 species
UUGUAACAUACCAGAUUUUGGUAUAAAAAAAAAAAAUAAAAAUAGUGUGAGAAGCUAUUUUUAUUGGAUUUAAAGAAGUAAAAUAUAAGUCAGAAAUGACUUGUGCUGAAAUCGGAAUGAAAACAGAAGAUUUAGAAUUUUCUGUUGGAAACGGGCCAGACAAAUUAGCAGAAAAUGCACAGUCUCAGAAAAUUAUGAAAAUUGGAGGAUAAGUUAGAAAUAUUUUUAUGAGGUUAGAUUUAAAGUUUCAUAUUUUUCUGACACCCGUAGAGUGAGAAAUAAAAUCCGACAGCUAUCUGAUAAAGAUUACAGUUCGGUACAGUUUUCAGUGACCAAACAGGGUCGAAACUGAAAAAUUAAGAUAUAUUCUUACUCAGUACAUUAAACCGAGCCUGUCUGUUAAAUUUGAGCCCAAACGGACAUUCAGAAGGGCUCCAACUGUUCCGAACUGCUAAACUGCCCUAGAGUGAAUAGUGUUUUG